UGCUUGGCUAGCAUGUGUCCAAGUCCUGGGCUUCCUCACUGCAGUCUGUUCUAUGUUCCUAUUAAAUCCUACUUCUAACUCUCUCUUACACGUGCGCAUGUGUGUGUGUGUCUGUGGGUCUCUGUGUCUGUGUGUUCAGCCUCCCUGUUCCCUGUUGAGAAGGAACUGAAUAGCCUAACAUGAACAUGGCUGGGACAGAAGAACUCUCACAGGUCCUGCAGUCUACCAAAUUCACCUACCUUAGCUCACAGAAGGAAGUUAGAAGCAUGCUGACUGUGACCUUCCAGCCUUUCAUUCCCUGAAACCAGGUCCUGUGCUACCUUUAGAUGUCAAGACUUAUGCUGCAGGGAUAACCAGGUGAACUGCAGCGAAUUAGCUCUCAAAAUAAGUGGAUACUCCUACUCAACUGCAAACUCAAGUUCAUGUGUAGUACACCAUGGUGACCUGGAGAGCUACAACUGGGAUGGUGAUAUUAAAAGCAAAUUUUUUUUCUCUCUUUUUUUUUUUUUUUGGCUGUCACUGAUAAAGUGGGCAACACUAAACAAGUCAUGAUUGAUCAUUUUUCUGAAAUUACCUCAUCUAUAUGAGGCCACUGUGUAAUAU